rnacentral:rRNA from 1 species
CGUUUAUUUGAUAGUACCUUACUACUUGGAUAACCGUGGUAAUUCUAGAGCUAAUACAUGCUGAAAACCCCAACUUCGGGAGGGGUGUAUUUAUUAGAUAAAAAACCAACGCCCUUCGGGGCUUCUUGGUGAUUCAUGAUAACUUUACGGAUCGCAUGGCCCUGCGCCGGCGACGGUUCAUUCAAAUUUCUGCCCUAUCAACUUUCGAUGGUAAGGUAUUGGCUUACCAUGGUUUCAACGGGUAACGGGGAAUUAGGGUUCGAUUCCGGAGAGUGAGCUGAGAAACGGCUAACACAUCCAAGGAAGGCAGCAGGCGCGCAAAUUAUCCAAUCCCGACACGGGGAGAUAGUGACAAUAAAUACUGAUACAGGGCUCUUUUGGGUCUUGUAAUUGGAAUGAGUACAAUUUAAACCUCUUAACGAGGAACAAUUGGAGGGCAAGUCUGGUGCCAGCAGCCGCGGUAAUUCCAGCUCCAAUAGCGUAUAUUAAAGUUGUUGCAGUUAAAAAGCUCGUAGUUGAAACUUGGGUCUGGCUGGCAGGUCCGCCUCACCGCGUGUACUUGUCCGGCCGGACCUUCCUUCUGGAGAACCUCAUGCCCUUCACUGGGCGUGUUGGGGACCAGGACUUUUACUUUGAAAAAAUUAGAGUGUUCAAAGCAGGCCUUUGCUCGAAUACGUUAGCAUGGAAUAAUAAAAUAGGACGUGCGGUCCUAUUUUGUUGGUUUCUAGGACCGCCGUAAUGAUUGAUAGGGACAGUCGGGGGCAUCAGUAUUCAAUUGUCAGAGGUGAAAUUCUUGGAUUUAUUGAAGACUAACUACUGCGAAAGCAUUUGCCAAGGAUGUUUUCAUUAAUCAGUGAACGAAAGUUAGGGGAUCGAAGACGAUCAGAUACCGUCGUAGUCUUAACCGUAAACUAUGCCGACUAGGGAUCGGGCGAUGUUCUUUUUCUGACUCGCUCGGCACCUUACGAGAAAUCAAAGUUUUUGGGUUCUGGGGGAGAAUGCGCAC